AUAAUGGGUCAGCGACUUAUAUUCUGUAGCAAGGUUAACCGAAUAGGGGAGCCGAAGGGAAACCGAGUCUUAACUGGGCGUUAAGUUGCAGGGUAUAGACCCGAAACCCGGUGAUCUAGCCAUGGGCAGGUUGAAGGUUGGGUAACACUAACUGGAGGACCGAACCGACUAAUGUUGAAAAAUUAGCGGAUGACUUGUGGCUGGGGGUGAAAGGCCAAUCAAACCGGGAGAUAGCUGGUUCUCCCCGAAAGCUAUUUAGGUAGCGCCUCGUGAAUUCAUCUCCGGGGGUAGAGCACUGUUUCGGCAAGGGGGUCAUCCCGACUUACCAACCCGAUGCAAACUGCGAAUACCGGAGAAUGUUAUCACGGGAGACACACGGCGGGUGCUAACGUCCGUCGUGAAGAGGGAAACAACCCAGACCGCCAGCUAAGGUCCCAAAGUCAUGGUUAAGUGGGAAACGAUGUGGGAAGGCCCAGACAGCCAGGAUGUUGGCUUAGAAGCAGCCAUCAUUUAAAGAAAGCGUAAUAGCUCACUGGUCGAGUCGGCCUGCGCGGAAGAUGUAACGGGGCUAAACCAUGCACCGAAGCUGCGGCAGCGACGCUUA
rnacentral:rRNA from 1 species